AAUGGGCGCAAGCCUGAUCUAGCCAUGCCGCGUGAGUGAUGAAGGCCCUAGGGUCGUAAAGCUCUUUCGCCAGGGAUGAUAAUGACAGUACCUGGUAAAGAAACCCCGGCUAACUCCGUGCCAGCAGCCGCGAUAAUACGGAGGGGGUUAGCGUUGUUCGGAAUUACUGGGCGUAAAGCGCGCGUAGGCGGAUUAGAAAGUUGGGGGUGAAAUCCCAGGGCUCAACCCUGGAACUGCCUCCAAAACUACUAGUCUAGAGUUCGAGAGAGGUGAGUGGGACUCCGAGUGUAGAGGUGAAAUUCGUAGAUAUUCGGAAGAACACCAGUGGCGAAGGCGGCUCACUGGCUCGAUACUGACGCUGAGGUGCGAAAGUGUGGGGAGCAAACAGGAUU
rnacentral:rRNA from 1 species